CUUGGUCAGGGCCGUAGACAAGGUUCAUAAGCUGGUCACAUUGGUGAGGCUUAUGCAGAGAGAAUCUGCAUUUGCAACGCAAGAAAGUCUAGGUUAUAAAAUCUUACAAACGUGGACAGCGAGGCCCAGCCAGCCGCCUCACAGAUUUCCACGAUGGACACGCCAGUGGACCAUGCCCAAGAAGAGGCCAUGCCUCUUGUGGAGUGCGCUUUAACACCUAUAGGACAUUGCAGGCCUAAGGAGGAAUAAGCGAGCGCUAGAGCAUCGACUCUCCACCUGGAUAACCUGGGCUUCGUGACCGGAAGACCUCUCGUGCGGCCACCGAAGAAGACAAAAAGUUGUUCCGACUGACGAAAAGAGGCGGAACCAUCGAUGUAGGCCCUCAGGGCCCUGACGGGACAGAGUAGUUUCAACUCCUGAUCAUCCUAGGAAGGAGGAAGUGGGGAGAGAAUGACCAUCUGCACCCUAAAAGGAGUAGAUAGGACCUUCGGGACGUAUCCAUAUCUUGGUUUCAGGACGACUUUGGAGUCGUUAGGCCCGAAUUCAAGACAGGAGGGGCUCACAGGGAGCGCCUGCAAAUCUCCCACUCGCUUAACCAAUGCUAAGGCUAGCAAUAAGGCGGUUUUUUAACGAUAGGGGACGUAAGUCGGCAGUCUGGAGUGGUUCAAAAAGAGGGCCCUUAAGACCUCUAAGAGCCUCCUAGAUCCCUUUAGGAAGUGAACAACAAGGUUGUUUCUCCCUAUUGGCUGCCCUGCUAAAGGAGCAUGGGAGGCUGUUAUAGCAGCUACAUAGACUUUAAGAGUAGAGGGAGUACGGCCCCUAUUCAUUAAGUCCUGAAGGAUGGACAAUAUCAGGGAUAUGUCAGGUAAAUGGGUCUUCGUUCCGGGCUGUACAUCAGGCAGCAAAGACUGGCCAUUUUAGGAAGUAGAGCCGUCUCCUUGACAAGGCUCUAGCUCCAUAGAGGAGCCACCAGGAGGACUUUGUGGGUACCCUUCCUGAUUCGCUUGAUAACCUGGGGAAUCAGAGCGAUCGGGAGAAAAGCGUAAAGGAGAAGGCUGGGCCAAUCGUGGGCCUUCGCAUCCCUGGUCUUUGAAAAAUAAAUUGGGCAAUGAUAGUUGUCUUCUGAGGCAAAGAGUUUGACCUCUGCCCUCCCGAAGGCAUCCCAACCUCGCUCCAGACCAAGACGAUAUCAGUCCGCUUCAGAUAUGUGUCUGCAUCAGGUCAGUUACUAGUUGGCAUGUCUGUUCUUCCUAUGUGGAGUAGCGUAUUAAAUUAAUGAGAGUAUAAAUCCUUUAGUUUAAACGUGCUCAUGUGAAUAGCUCUUAUAUAGGCUACAGUAGUUCUGUUUUGUUUGUGUUAUGUUUUUCUGAGAAUAGACAUGACUUCACUGGAAUUCCUACAUAACCUGUAACACUCUAAAACAACAUUCGGAUGCAAUAAAUACAACAUUAAGGCAAUUCUAAGAUGGCAUUCUAUGCGUUUGUUUUGUGUACUAAAGUCUGUCAAUCAUCAUUAGAGCGCCACCCUCAGGCUGAAUAACGCAAGGACAUUAGAAUUCUGCCAAAAGUGUGUCUGUGUUCAGCGAUUAGGAUAUAAAGCUUACAAAAUGUUUAUCAUAAACUAGCGCUUAGACCCAGAAUCUGCCCUACCUAAGUUUAUGGCCAGGAGCCGCUACUGGUCUACAGUGUGAAAAAUGACAGUGCUGUGACUGUCAAAUUUCUAUAUAUAGAAAAAAAUAUAUAUAGAAAAUGAGUGUUUUGAGUUCAAAGUUUGACUGUUGGGGCCCCAUACCUGGAAUCGCUUAGGGCCCCUAAAUCACUAAGUCCGCCCCUGCUCUUUAUAAGGCACAUUCUUCACAUCUACCACCACAGUAUAGUUUUCAAACACUGUCAUGAUGCCACUGAGUCUGAAACAUGCUGAAAAAAAAGAAAAAAAAAAUCCUACAGUAAAUAUCAAUAUCAAUCACAUGAUGAACACUAUAGCGUCAGUCUUUCUUUUUGCGUAUCAACAUAAACAUGUUCGAGGAAACACCUGGAAUAUUUAUUAAACAAAUCAGACAUUAUACAUAAUACUUGUAUUCACAUACACAUGGAAGUUAUGAUCUUUCUCUUGAUGUAAAGUAAUUAAACAGUCGGAUCCAAAUCCUGCUGCAGUGCCUCUUCUUGAUGGUGUUGUCAUGUCAUAUCAUUAGCAGACGGAAGAGUACCUUACCGUGGACAAAGUCAGAGUGAAGUGACAAGUUUGUAUUUUAAGAAAAUACCAUACCUUCCCAUGUAAAGUUACAUACGGUAAAGACACACCUUACUGUGACAAAAACAUUAGACGGGCUCCAUCCAGUGGUUGAAGCGGUCCUUACAGAAAUUAUUAUGUACAAUUACCCCUAAAAACAUACACGCAUAGAGGGGCGCUGCAUCUCUCCAAUCAAAGAGUAUGAGGUCUCUGCGGAACAAAAGUGGGCGUUUCUGAAUGUGUGGGUGUUUUCAAACUGCUGGGUGUUUAUAAAUCAUGCAAUGAAAAUGAUCCCCUUCACCCGACCCCACCCCUAAACCCUACCCACAAUCUGACGUUGGCAAAUUAGGUAACGCUCUCAAAAACGCCCCUCCCACGGUAACUCCUAUUACUGUCCUGCAGAGACCUGCACUUGGAAUCAGAGGCUUCUGUUGUGGGAUAAUCCUAAUGGUUCCUCCCUUUCCUCUGCCACAUCCACUGAGAAGACGAACCAGCGAAUAUCAGUAAGACCGUAUGUUUGUUGAACUGCUGAGAUUUUUAUCAGUCCGCGGUGCUUUAUAGCAGCAUCGCUUCUUCUGUGUGUGUUCCGUUAAGCAUAUAUGCAGAUAUGGCUCGGCACACGUUCUUUUCAAAUUAUGUACUCAGAAAUGUGCCCAUGAGGACAGCUGUCAUAGUUAUGGCCAUGCUCAUCUUUUUCAAAUAUGUGUUCACGUGCCCUUGCACAACUCGCGAGAUAACUCUCCUGCACUGCUGGCUCUACCUAUGCCUGCCAAUAGGCAUACUGUUCUUCAUAAUGAUCCUCGUCGACGCUCAGCUCCUGAAGAUGUGCAGAUGUUACGUAUGCAAAUGUUGCGUCAGCGGUCAGAGCAGAUGCUGUAAGAGUGAGUGCUGCGAUACUUUUGAAUGCUGCUGUUGUGCUGGUGGUUACUGUUACCAUCCAGAACGCUGUGGACAGGAAGGAUGGUAUUACUGUGGCAUUAUAUGGAAGCACCUACUUAAUGUCUUUUAUGCGGGAUCGCUGUGGAUAGUCGUUGCAUUUAUUGACGGGGAUUGGUACGUUUGCAUGCGGACCAUUAAUGUGAACGGUACCGGGGAGCAGAUUGCGUGCAAGGAUCUACCAACUCCAGGAGAAGCAGAGACUCUAAGAAAAUUUGACAGUGAAUCACGGGUAAUUGGCCUAAUUCUUAUUCUUGGCCUUUCAUUUUUGUUGACGAUAAGCUCAUCUCUCAUGACCAGAUGGAAGCCGUAUUAUAAAUCACUCUAUGAAGUUUAUCUGGAGCGGGAGACUUCAGCCAUUCUGGAGGAGAGACUACAUGAAAAAGCAGUGGACAGAGCCAAGCAUGUCAGUGAGCUUUCACUGAGAAACAUUCAAAAUCCACACAUGAACACCACUCAGGAUGAUGCUUGUCAUGUUCAGUAUCAACAGUUAGGGAACAAUGAAAAAGACGUGUGGCAUCAAAUAUCAGACCCGGCCCUACAUUUAACAGAGUUGCCAUAGGCAAUGUCAAUUUUGUGCCUACUACCUGCAUCUUGCCAAAGUAUUGGUGCAUCACUGGUUUACACAUUUAUUUGCAUAUUAUAAUAACAUUUUUAUUGUGUUAUAUUUUUUUUUCUUUCUUUUUCUUUCUGUUUCAUACUGAGACACAAGCAAACUUAUUCAAUACUGCAUUCUAUAUUGCAGUAAAUAUUUAGAGGUUUUAUAGAACUAUAAAUAAAAUACUGAGGUGCUGAGAAGGUUAUUGUUUGAGGUAAUUUGGGGUGUGUAAGAUUUUCUUUUGAAAGAAAUUAUACUUUUAUGAAGCAUAAAUGCAUUAAAUUGAUCAUCAGUAAAACAUAUAGACAUUUAUAAUGUUACAGAAGAUUUCUAUUUCAAAUAAAUGCUGUUCUUUUGAAUUUUCUAUUUAUCAAAGAAUCCAGAAAAAAAAUACAUCACAGUUUCCACAAAAAAUGUUAAGCAGCACAAAUGUUUUCAACACUGAUAAUAAGUGUUCUUAACAGCAAAUAAAAAUGUUUCUUGAGCAGCAAAUCAGCAUAUUAUAUAUGAUUUCUGAAGGAUCAUGUGCGACUGAAGACUAAUGAUGCUGAAAAUUACAUAAAAUAGAAAAAAUAUUAUGGUUACUGUAUUUUUGAUCAAAUAAGUAGUCUUCAUGAGCAUAAGAGACUUCUUUCAAACAAUCUUACCGACCCCAAAUUGUGCUGUUAGCCUGAGAAUGUUUUGAGUUUUUAUAGGGUGAAUCAAAAUGCAUUUGCUAUUGUUACAAUAAGUAUUUCAGAUCCAAUGCACAAGAACAAAAAUUAUUUCUACCCAAAAAGUAACUCAUGAGUCAUGACUAUGUACUUUUUUUUUUUUUUUUUUUUAUAACAUAUGAUAAACUCUCUUAAGACUAAAAAAAAGAAAAGAAAAAAAAGAGCCAAAACUUUUUACCAUUUUUUAAAAAACUUUUUACUCUAUUGCUUGGACUCCAGUAGUUAUUUCUCUGUUUGUUUAUUAUGUUAUUGCUACUAAAGUUAUUAUUUUUAACUAUGUGUGGGGGCAGCAACUUGAAGAAAUGUUUUUAGAUAUAAUGGUAUUCAUUGAGGCAAGUGUUUUCUCUAAUUGAUUCUGUUAAUAAAAUGAUAAUUUAAAAAAACAAAACAAAAAAAAAAAACCAAUUCCUUAGAAUAUACAGCUAUAAAUGUGGAUGUUAUUUUUUCGUGAACUAAGAUUCAUUUCUCCUCUCUACAUAAUGAUAUUAUUAAUUUGACUUUUAAAUGCUGAAACACAACAACUCGUGUCCAUACUCUUUCUAUAUAGGUGAAGGUAAGUUUGUUAAAGGUAUACUAUUUAACUUUUUUGUUCAAAAUUUAAUUUAGUCAAUACGUCAUCAAUUCUUCCAAAAUGUGUUGUGUUUUCGCGGGAAAUUGCAUAAAUACGUCACUCACCCCUGCAUGUCUUGUUAUAUCCGUAAAUGGAGAAAAGUUGCACCAGCUAGGCCUACUUUGAUGCAUAUAUGGUGACAGGUUAGUUUUCACAACAAGCGAGAAAGGUUGACAUGGAGCUCACUAAAUCUCGAACCGCCGGAGAAUCUCCCAUUUAAAAAAAAAAAUGCAGAACAGAGGAUUGUCUGUCUGCUUGCAAAAAGAGAAUGCGACAGAGCUCGCAAUAAAAAUUGAAUCAACGUUGGCUUUUCAGAGAUGGCUAGAACUGAGGAUUUUGAAAUGUAAAAGCAACGCAGUGGUCGUUUUUAUUACUCAAAGGUGUUUUAUUGAACAGAUAAAUUGCCAUAUGUAGCUCUCUAACAUAAUUCAUUGUAAAGCAUUAUCAUUAAUCAUUAUAUUGUAAAGGGUCAUUUCUUUAUGGUUCUUGUAGCCACUGUUGGGGGUAAUGCAUUACAAGUAACGCAAAUUACGUAAAUAGAUUACUUUUUUUCAAGUAACUAGUAAUGCAUUACUUUUAAAUUUACAACAAAAUAUCUGAGUUACUUUUUUACAAAUAGCUAAUGCAAGUUGCUUUGUUUUCUCAUUUAUUGAGUGACACCAUGUUGAGAGAAAUAGUGAGCUGCAGAUGCAUGCGUUGUGUAAACAUGGUUAUUGUAGACUAAAUGUGACUCACUUGCACAAAAACAGAUUCAGUAUUCCUCAAUAUGAAUAAAAGCAGUGAAAUGCAAACUCAGAAUAUUAUGCAAGCCUGCAAUAAUUAAAUGUUAAAUAAUACAAAUAAACUUUUUAUUUAAUCUCA